rnacentral:rRNA from 1 species
AGUGAACGCUGGCGGUAGGCCUAACACAUGCAAGUCGAACGGCAGCACAGUAAGAGCUUGCUCUUACGGGUGGCGAGUGGCGGACGGGUGAGGAAUACAUCGGAAUCUACUUUUUCGUGGGGGAUAACGUAGGGAAACUUACGCUAAUACCGCAUACGACCUACGGGUGAAAGCAGGGGAUCUUCGGACCUUGCGCGAUUGAAUGAGCCGAUGUCGGAUUAGCUAGUUGGCGGGGUAAAGGCCCACCAAGGCGACGAUCCGUAGCUGGUCUGAGAGGAUGAUCAGCCACACUGGAACUGAGACACGGUCCAGACUCCUACGGGAGGCAGCAGUGGGGAAUAUUGUACAAUGAGCGCAAGCCUGAUGCAGCCAUACCGCGUGGGUGAAGAAGGCAUUCGGGUUGUAAAGCCCUUUUGUAGGGAAAGAAAAGCAGCAGGUUAAUACCCCGCUGUUCUGACGGUACCCAAAGAAUAAGCACCGGCUAACUUCGUG